UACCCGCAGCACAAGUGUUGUUCGUUAUUAUUGGGCCUAAAGCGUCCGUAGCUGGCUUGGUAGGUGCCUUGGGAAAUCGAUGCGCUCAACGCAUCGAACUCCGGGUAGACCGGCAAGCUUGGGACCGGGAGAGGCGUGAGCUACUCGAGGGGUAGGGGUAAAAUCCUGUAAUCCUUCGGGGAGGACCAGUGGCGAAGGCGUCACGCUAGAACGGCUCCGACAGUGAGGGACGAAGCCCUGGGGCGCAAACCGG
rnacentral:rRNA from 1 species